CGGCGAUGAUGAUGAAACAA
rnacentral:siRNA from 1 species